ACCCAGUCUGUGGUGUUUUGUCAAGUAGCCCUAGCUAGCUGGUACAGCCGGCAAUCAGAAUGGAUCAAUCUGGUCCACUCCUGGGGCGCAGUCGGUGUGAGACGCAGCUUGUGGGAGAGGGAGGUCUGGGUUCUGGAGAAGAAAGCUGAUGGGAGGAUGCUGGGCGCUCGCGGGACAACGCCUGUGACAGAUGCCAAGGUUGACCUCCACCCCCACGGCUGCGGCUUGACCCCUCUUCUCAGACCAGCUCCCUUUCUGUGCACACCAGCCCCCUGCUGAUUUUCUCCGACAGACAUCAGUACAACCAUCUCGUUAGACUUCUGCUUCCCCCUUAUCAUCACUCUCCAGUUCUCUUUCUAACAGCUGCUCCAGGCAAUUUUGCUAGCAGUUUGGCAGGCUAGGGUGAGGAGGGUGUCUCCUAGCUCCUCCCCCACAUCGCUAUGCUCUGCCACCUGGUUCCCUCCACUGAAGACCAGUCCUACUUUUACUCUACAACAGCCUCACGUCCCAGUUGUUGGGGGACACAGGGAUGCUGGUGAAUGUCUAACAACCUGUUUAGUGUUGCUGUAUUUGCCAAUUUCCGUGGUGUAAACACCCACCGUGGUCCAUUCUAAAGGACCCACAAGAGGCCACUGAGCACAGAAUUGGGAAGAGAUGGCACACGGUGGCAACCCCAGUCCAGCGGUACCCAGGGAGACCUCCCUGUCACCUUCAGGGAGGACAAUAAGGAGUCCUGGUAUCAUCCGAGUGUCAAUCCUUGAUGAUUGGAAAACAUCUCCUGGGGCAGGAGAGGGUUAAAAACGUUUUAUGAGCCCCUGUGGGAACCUGCGAGCAUGAGGAGGGCAUGAGAAAAUCCUGAGGGUUCCUGGUGCCGUGUCCUGCAAGGGCUCCCUCCCUGGAUGUCCCCAGGCUGCGAGGAUGAAUGCCACCGUAGAGAAUCAAGUGCAACCCCGCUUCCCUCAGGGUCCCAUGCAAACCAGACUCGUGAUAAAGGCCACCAUUGAUGGGCACUUCCUCUGCACCAGGCACUGCGCCGGGCCCUCCAGACCCAUUUUCUCAUCGAGUUCAUAGCACCACCCCCACAGACUUGGUAGGCGUAGUCCUGUCCCCAAAAUGAGGUUCACAGAGGUCAGAGGAAUGAUCUCAAGGUCAUGGCGGCAGAGCCGAGAUGGAACUGGGGCCUUCUAGAAAGGAAGAAGAAACAGAAGAACGGGACCUGGGCCGGCCCUGGGCCUGCUUUGAGAUGUUUCCUGCUGAACAACCACCUGGCCUUCACCUCUGUGUUUCAUCGACUCCUUGCUGUGAAUCAAGUGCAGCCUCUUUCCAGCCACUCCCCAGUCCCAGCAACAAUUCCUUUGAGAGAACAACCUCAGGCCAGAAAUCUUCCUGCCCAGAGCAGUGAAAGGGCCCAAAU
ensembl:lncRNA